UUGAAAGUAGACUAGUUAUAAGUCUUUAGACUCAUAAUCUAAAAAAGAUCUUAAAGAUCCUUUCAAA
rnacentral:tRNA from 1 species